rnacentral:misc_RNA from 1 species
GAUGAAGAACGCAGCGAAAUGCGAUACGUAAUGUGAAUUGCAGAAUUCAGUGAAUCAUCGAAUCUUUGAACGCGCAUUGCGUCCGCCAGCACUCUGGCGGGCAUGCCUGUUCGAGCGUCAUUUCAACCAUCAAGCCCCAGGCUUGCGUUGGAGCCCUGCGGCUGCCGCAGCCUCCUAAAAGCAGUGGCGGGCUCGCUAUCACACCGAGUGCAGUAGAUUACUCUUCGCUCAGGGCGUGCAGCGGGUUCCGGCCGUGAAACCCCCUACUUUUAAAGGUUGACCUCGGAUCAGGUAGGAAUACCCGCUGAACUUAAGCAUAUCAAUAAGCGGAGGA